rnacentral:lncRNA from 1 species
AUUAAAUCAGCCAAGAGGAGUGUAGAGGGACAGAAGCAAGUCACCUCCCCCCCAAAAAUAUUUAAUCCUUUCACAAAGAGUUUUGAACACCACCGUGGAAAUCGAUAGCAGGGAUAAAGCCCUUGAUCCAAUGCUUACCCGGUACAGCAAAGGCCCCAUCAUUCAAUUAAGCUUUAUAUAGUGAGUUUUAAAGCCAUAAGAGCCCAAAGGAGAUUGCAGAAACUGGCCAUUUGUUUCCCACGGCUGAAGCUCAGAUCUUCUCACUACAUAUGUACAUUUGAGAGUCACUUUGGGUAGCAGUGAGAGGGUUGGACCAGGACCUAGGAGACAGGGGUCCAAAUCUCCAAUCAGCCAUGAAGUUGCUACCACGCAGGGUGGCUGUGAGGAUGAGUGGAGAAGGCAAGUCCAUGGACAUUGGCUUGAGCUCCUUGGAUGAAAGCAGCAAACCAAUGUGCCAAUGUUUGGCCUGCAGUGGGCAGUGCUUUCUAAUGACGGCCUGUCAAUCUGUCAGCUGUCCUUUAUCAAUGCUAAGUAUUGGAUGGUUGGAAGAGGUUUGGGGGAGACUCAGGAACCAGUGUCAGUAUAGGGAAGUGGCUUGGAUCUAUGGAUUCCGUGGACAUCAAAGAUGCCAGGGCAGGUUGGAUUCCAUUGAUGCUUUUUUCUUUUCUUUUGAAAUGUAAAGAGAACCCUGCCUUCUUCCAGCCCUUGUACUCUUUCUCUUGUCUCUCAAGGCCACACUUGGUAGAUUUCUCCCAACAUUGCCACACAGAAGGGAUCCUUGCCUUGGUCAGCAUCCAAUGACAUCUGGAGGUUGUUUUGCCAGUUCAGUGCAACAGCAUUGCACAGAUGCAAGACAUGCCUCAUCCUGGCUCCACCUCUUUUAUCCAUGGCACUCCACCACUGUCCCACCUCUGUCCUCUUCUUGUGUGCUGUUGCACCAGAAGUGGUUUAGUUAUGCUGGCCACAUGACCUGGAAAGCUGUCUGGGAACAAAUGCCGGCUCCCUCAGCCUGAAGUGAGAUGAGCGCUGCACCCCGUAGUCACCUUUGACUGGACUUAACCAUCUAGGGGUCCUUUACCUUUAUACCUGGCCUUGGUCCAGUAUAUCUGAAGGAGCGUCUCCACCCCCACCAUUCUACCCGGACACUGAGGUCCAGCCCCAAGGGCCUUCUGGCAGUUCCCUCACUGUGAGAAGCCAAGUUACAAGGAACCAGGCAGAGGGCCUUCUCGGUAGUGGCACCCGCCCUGUGGAACGCCUUCCCACCAGAUGUCAAAGAGAACAACAACUACCAGACUUUUAGAAGACAUCUAAAGGCUGCCCUGUUUAGGGAAGCUUUUAGUGUUUGAUGCAUUACUGUAUUUUAAUAUUUUGUUGGAAUCUGCCCAGAGUGGCUGGGGAAUAAAAUUAUUAUUAUUAUUAUUAUUAUUAUUAUUAUUUUAACCUUUUCCUGUCUGCAAUGUGUCUUUGAACUGUGCAGAUACUCCUUCCUUGGCUUGAUGGAUGCUGGAAAGAUGUAUGAAUGUCAACACCUCUGACUUUCACAUAGCCACUGGGCGAAGGUGAGACUCACUUCUGUUGCCUCACUUACUCUGGCCCCUGGCCACACCCACUGCUACCCUGUGGCCCCCAGAAGGUUAUAUGUGAGGGAGUUUGGCCCCCAGUCUGGAAAAGGCUCCCCACCCUUGCUCUAGCUUGGAUGAUGUAAUCAGGCAUGAUGUGGAUAGCUUCCGGAAACAUCUCCUAGGCCAGUCAUGGUUUGCAUUGGAGGCCUGGCUCACUGCAUUUAUAUGGGGACCAUUUUCAAUGCAAAAUGUCCUGAUCAUUUGCUAUGACUCUCUUGCCAGAAGCUUCAUGCACUGUAUCCACCAUCCUGGUGCUUUGUACAGCUUUUAGUAAGCAGCGUGGUGUCAGUCACAUUGAAAUCUGAUGAAACCCAGAUUUUUUUUAAAAAAUAUAUUAAUUAAAGUUCAAUGGAUUCCUUAUAAAGAAUAGAUGAAAGGAGCAGCCAGUGACAAGGGAGUCAUGGAGCUUGCUUUUCUGAAGAUUAACUAAAGCUCCCAUGAACUUCCUGCCUGCCUCUCUGGAAGGCUUCCUGGUUGCUGGGCUGCUGUUGUUUCCCCCCUUUAUUAUUUCACCAGGCUGAAAUUAUUUCAACAGAUUGACAAGUGCUUGUUUACAAAAGGAGGUGAAGGAUUAGCAUGCCCACAAAGUGAGAUGCAAAUAGAAAAAAGAUGCUGAUUUUGUGCUUUAACGUUACUAUGUUAACAAUCAAGUAGCUCAAAAGGUUGCAUUUUGUUUGUUUGUUUGUUUUUAGGGAAAAUGAAAUCACAAGAUAUAAAUGGUACCAUAUUUCAAGCAUGCCUGUGGGGUCACUGGGGCUCCAGAUUCCUCCUCCCAGUGCUUACCCUGAAAAACCAUUG